CCUACGCCAUCACUCCA
rnacentral:misc_RNA from 1 species